rnacentral:rRNA from 1 species
ACGGGUGAGUAACACGUAAGGAACCUGCCUCAAGGAUUGGGAUAACUCCGAGAAAUCGGAGCUAAUACCGGAUAGUUCAUCGGACCGCAUGGUCCGCUGAUGAAAGGCGCUCCGGCGUCACCUUGAGAUGGCCUUGCGGUGCAUUAGCUAGUUGGUGGGGUAACGGCCCACCAAGGCGACGAUGCAUAGCCGACCUGAGAGGGUGAUCGGCCACACUGGGACUGAGACACGGCCCAGACUCCUACGGGAGGCAGCAGUAGGGAAUCUUCCACAAUGGACGAAAGUCUGAUGGAGCAACGCCGCGUGAGUGAUGAAGGUUUUCGGAUCGUAAAACUCUGUUGUAAGGGAAGAACACGUACGAGAGGGAAUGCUCGUACCUUGACGGUACCUUACGAGAAAGCCACGGCUAACUACGUGCCAGCAGCCGCGGUAAUACGUAGGUGGCAAGCGUUGUCCGGAAUUAUUGGGCGUAAAGCGCGCGCAGGCGGCCUUUUAAGUCUGAUGUGAAAGCCCCCGGCUCAACCGGGGAGGGCCAUUGGAAACUGGAAGGCUUGAGUACAGAAGAGAA